UUUAACUAGUGACUGGAGGAGGAAAAAAAGAACAAGCUUCUAAGUUCAUAUAUUUCCUAGUCAACAAUGCAUAUAUGCCUACUCUCUAAUAAUGCCAUGCAAAUAUAGGAGAGAUAACAAUCACAAAACAUAUUUUUAUAAAGAUAUGAAAAGCCUGUUGAAAUUGGAUGAAGGAUAACAACUGAGAGAAUGUAAUUAUAACUACUGAAUUUUAGCCAGAGUUUUUACACUUCUUUCUAAGACAACAGGUGAUCCUUGAAAAACAUAGGUUGGAACUGUACACCAUCCCUUUAAGUAGGUUUUAAGAAAUAAAUACAGC